GAUGAACGCUAGCGGGAGGCCUAACACAUGCAAGCCGAGCGGUAUUGUUUCUUCGGAAAUGAGAGAGCGGCGUACGGGUGCGUAACACGUGUGCAACCUGCCUUUAUCUGGGGGAUAGCCUUUCGAAAGGAAGAUUAAUACUCCAUAAUAUAUUGAACGGCAUCGUUUAAUAUUGAAAGCUCCGGCGGAUAGAGAUGGGCACGCGCAAGAUUAGCUAGUUGGUGAGGUAACGGCUCACCAAGGCGAUGAUCUUUAGGGGGCCUGAGAGGGUGGUCCCCCACACUGGUACUGAGACACGGACCAGACUCCGACGGGAGGCAGCAGUGAGGAAUAUUAGUCAAUGGGUGCAAGCCUGAACCAGCCAUCCCGCGUGAAGGAUGACUGCCCCAUGGGUUGUAAACUUCUUUUGUAUAGGGAUAAACCUACCCUCGUGAGGGUAGCUGAAGGUACUAUACGAAUAAGCACCGGCUAACUCCGUGCCAGCCGCCGCGGUAA
rnacentral:rRNA from 1 species